GAAAGCCCCGCUCCAUAGGCCAGACUGUCCCAUUUCGGUCCCUGAAAAAGGCCAUGCGCUUGAAUGCAGCCCACGAAUUGAGACACAGCAAAACGGGGAGAAAAAAAACACUGCAUGCCUUUAUUUUGAAAUCGACUACCGGAAGUAUCGUGUGUACUGGUUUUAAAGGACUUGACACAGUGAUAGGCAGUUCAGCGCUCCAUGUUGCGGCGCUGCGUGGCACUGUGCACCGACUGGGCAGUGGAUGCACACAAACGCACGUACGCGCGCGUACACACGCACACACACACUCGCACACUCACGCGCGCGCACGCAUGACUAGUUGUGAAUGGCCGACGAGGCUUGGCACGUUUCGUUUGCGUGGCGAGAAGUAGCCGUCGGUCCGGACGCCUCUACCUGCUGCAGACCGUGCCCGCGCCGCGCACACCCAUGGGUGUCGCUGAUGUGACCGCCUCCUGCGUCGGGACCGAACGGGGCCGCUUCGAUCGGCGCGGUAGUUAUUUUCAGAGCCGCUCGCUCCAGCUAUUCGGGACCGACUGGAAACGUGCGGGCCGGGCGCGCUGAGUCGGAUUGGGGAGCCGCACCGGAGCGCUGCAGCAAGACGCGGUACCGGAGCCCGAGCAGACGCGGUACCGCAGCCGCAGCGGACGAGGAAGAGGAGGAAGCGCGGAUGUGAUGCCAACAAUUGGCCCGAAAAAAAAAGGGUCAACUCGAGGAAAGUUGCCUGCACCAGGAGUUGGAAAGAUAAGUUCUUUUUAAGGCAGCGAGCGUCCUCCGUGCACGAUCGGUCUGCAGUCUGUCUGCGUGCGUCUGAAGAUGAACGACUUGUGUCAGCUGCCGAAGGCGGCGUGGAGGCUGGCGGGCCGCAGAGAGAGCGUUAGCCAGGCUCUAACCAAUCGGAUGCUCCGGGCUGUAGAUCCCAACCGGGUGCCGGAGGGGCUGAUGAUGAAAGCGUGAUCAGAAGAAGGCCGUCGCUCCCCGGUGGCGUGUGUGUGUGUGUGUGUGUGUGUGUGUGUGUGUGUGUGUGUGUGUGUGUGUGUGUGUGUGUGUGUGUGUGUGUGUGUGUGUGCUGCAGCCCACAGCCACUGACGAUGAGCCGUGUCAAAUCUGACACACGGAAACACACACAAACGGCAACUCUGACUGCCGGUUGUGACGAAAAACCAAUUUACCAGGCAAGAAAAAUUCUGUUUGUGAAUUGUGGGGGUUGCUGUCCUUCAUCUGGUUGCUUUAGCGUCUCUUCCGUCACGCGUUGGGGGGGAAGCGGGCUCCCGUUCGGCCUCUGUUAGGACUUGUUGUCACAAAUCAGGGAUUUCGAGCCGAUGAAAGAGUUUAUUGUAGUUGAGUAGGCGGAAUGCACGAGGAGCAUAAUGCAGGUGGGAGGCACAUUUCUCUCGAACGCAGAAGCUUUGGCAUCAAGACGGACGGAUGAAGGACUGAGGAACGCUCGAGGACCUUUUUGAUCGUCAACGUGCGCCGUGGUGUCGUCUAAUGAGGGAACACUCGGGCAGACCUACACGUGUAGCACAUACACCCCCCCCCUCUCACAGAGACCUCUAUGCCUGGUAGGGAUGCCUCGGGCUUAGUCAUGCGUUCCCGUCACUGCACUGCACGUCUGAACGACCCGGUGAUCUCAUACCCCUGCUCGCCAUGUUUUGCUUAUUGGGCAGUUAAAUCACGAAACGACACCCAGCCUAAAUGUCGUGAUCAGUAAGUAAUGGAAGAUGGCAGAACAUGGAUUGUGUUUUGUAAUUGGAAUGUAUAAGUAAAGUCUACACGACAUGAAGAAAACAAUCUGAUGUCGCUUGGACCCGUUACAUUAAUUCUCCUUAUAAUUAACGUAACGGCAGCAGAGCUGUACUGCAGCACGAGAGACGCCGAAAAAAAGCCUCCAGCCCUCAAAAAGAAGAUCCCUUCAGAUGUUGUAUAAAAAGUUGGGGGGAAAAAAUGGAGCAGCACAGUGACCGUAUGAAGUAGUGUGUCGUGUCAAAGGGGUUGAUCGCUACUUGUCCGUUUCACGUUGCUAAGAAACACGCCAGGAAGGAAUAAUUGAACAUGUGCUCUUUGGUGAUUUAUGCGUUUGUCCAAUUACGGGCUGUUUGGACUGAUUCAGAAAUGAAGCUGAAUAAAACUGUACAUUUGUUUUUUUUUUAAAUUAGAGCCACAUUGUUUCUAUUGGUUUUGCCUUCACACAGACACGUCCUCACUGUGCACUGAGACGUCCUACUUUAUCUUAUAAGGUUCAUUUGUUGGCCUCGUCCUUCAGGUUGGGAUACGAUAAUCACUGAACAUUUAAAGGAUUUGAGAGGCUUUCUUUUGGGGGCCGUUAGUCAUAUCAGAAGCGUUGUGUUUGUCUUGAGUUAUUGAUUUAUUUUUCCAUUUGAAUGACAAAAGCACACGGAGAAGCCCAUUGUGUUAACGGAUCAAUAAUUGUCUUUGCAUGUGAGUGAAGUAACUAGGAUCUCUGCCAUCGUUAAUCCUCAAACGGGACAGAAUCUAUCCAACAGGCUUCAAUUGUCCAACAUGAUGCCACGUCCUC
ensembl:lncRNA